AACGAACGCUGGCGGCAGGCCUAAUACAUGCAAGUCGAGCGCGCCCUUCGGGGUGAGCGGCGGACGGGUGAGUAACGCGUGGGAAUAUGCCCUUCUCUAAGGAAUAGCCUCUGGAAACGGAGGGUAAUACCUUAUACGCCCUUUGGGGGAAAGAUUUAUCGGAGAAGGAUUAGCCCGCGUUAGAUUAGGUAGUUGGUGGGGUAAUGGCCUACCAAGCCUACGAUCUAUAGCUGGUUUGAGAGGAUGAUCAGCCACACUGGGACUGAGACACGGCCCAGACUCCUACGGGAGGCAGCAGUAGGGAAUCUUAGACAAUGGGGGCAACCCUGAUCUAGCCAUGCCGCGUGUGUGAUGAAGGCCCUAGGGUCGUAAAGCACUUUCGCCAGAGAUGAUAAUGACAGUAUCUGGUAAAGAAACCCCGGCUAACUCCGUGCCAGCAGCCGCGGUAAUACGGAGGGGGUUAGCGUUGUUCGGAAUUACUGGGCGUAAAGCGCACGUAGGCGGAUUAGUAAGCUAGAGGUGAAAUCCCAGGGCUCAACCCUGGAACUGCCUUUAAUACUGCUAGUCUUGAGUUCGAGAGAGGUAAGUGGAAUUCCGAGUGUAGAGGUGAAAUUCGUA
rnacentral:rRNA from 1 species